AUGCCCUCGUUGUGCCUGGGUGGCGUCGUUGUGAGUUGGCGGGUGGGGACGAGAAGAAGACAAGAAACGAAGGAAGGAAAAGGAAGGAAACGAUCGAUUCAGCUGGCCUAUCCAUUCUGCUCCUCUCCCACCGAAACCCUCCCCUCCGGAAAAUCCCCCAAACUUUGGUUGGCCAAAAUCAUGGACGGAGAUCGACGGACGCCGGCGGCCGCGGCCGCAUCCGUGCUUGACGACGACGACCUCCUCCGCGAGAUCCUCCUCCGCCUCGGCUUCCCCACCUGCCUCGUCCACGCGGCCCUCGUCUCCAAGCGGUGGCUCCACCACGCCUCCGACCCGGCCUUCCUCCGCCGCUUCCGCGACCGCAACCCGCCCCGCCUCCUCGGGAUCUGCCUCUGCUUCUCCGGCCGGUACCGGUUCGUGCCGUUCCCGCCGCAGCCCCCGGAGCUCGCCGCUCCCAUUCGCCGGGCGACCUCCUCCUGCGCCGCCGCCUUCGCCCGCAGAAUCCUGCCAAUCAAGCACUGCCGGAACGGCCGCCUCAUCAUAGAGUUCUUCGACGACGACAGAUGCGAUUACUCCCUCGCUCCGCUGCUCGCCGGUGAGCCCGCAGCCGUCCUCCCGACGACCCCGCUACCCCACCUUGACUGGGACACCACUCAAGGUAGAUUGGUUGAGAUGUUCCUGCCCGAGGAUGGGGGCCGCAACGGCAUCACCUUGCUGUAUCUCUGGGCGGUCCGGCGAAAAGUCUACGCCGAGUUGUACGUUCUGGGAUCCGGCGGAUGGGGCGUCCCAGCCACCGCAGUGACAGAGAUAGAGCUCUCGUUUGACACAGAAUUCCUUGAAAUUCUACCACCCAUCCAUGGCAAGGUCUUCGUGCUCACCGACUCUGGGUAUGCCCUGGGUUUAGAGUUGGCAGCGGCGAGCUUCUUCACCCUUGAGCUCCCAGUUGGAGUGCGCCACAAUUACAAGCUCUCAUGUGCGGAGGAUUCCGGGCUCUAUCUUGUCAGUGCAGAUGGGUUUCAGCUCAGUGUGUAG
rnacentral:rRNA from 1 species